AGCAAUUAAAUGGGUAAUAAAUGCCAGUGACGCCCACAUCCCAUGAACAAAUUUUUUUUAAAAACCUGCCUCUGUUUCACCUGUCUGCUGCUCAUCCAUUCUUUUGUUAGAUCCAAACUGUUCAAUUCCAAUGCUUUAAGUGACAGCCUCCCAUCUUUCACCAUGAGUUCAUGCAAAACUCUACCCAUGUGGUCAUUGACCCAUGUUAGCUCUUGGUCCACAAAUGCCUCAGAUUUAAAAUCUGUAGCCUCAGCCCUACAAAACUCUGAAAAACUCUGUAUUCCUCUGGCCUCUUGCACAUUCUUCCCUCUGAAUAUAACGCUUACAUUUAUAUAGCAAUGUUGUUGCUCAUUAUUUCUUUUCUGUAUUUUUAGAAUCUUGUUGGAAAUUAACGUGGAAUACCUAACUAAUGUUUUUUUAAUAGAAAGAGGCAUUAAAUCUCUAGGUCACCGAGCAGCUGAAGAGAUUUUAUUGCUGAUUGCUACACUUAUGAUCCUACAGUUGAUUCAUUUCACUGAACAGUUGAAAGGGAUUAAGCUCAAAUCUCUCCUUUGUCUGGACCAGACAAGGACAAUGCUUUGGCCAUUAGCACAUGUACAAAAUGCUAUAUCCUGGGCUAGAAACACAGACAGAAAGUAUCCAGCAAUCUGUAGUCGCCUGCAGCUAGAACAAGACUGGGAAUCAGCUACUCGUCAACUGUUGCAAUUUGAUCCUCUCAAGAAAGGCUCAGCACUUCAGCAGUUGUUUAACCAAGAGAAAUAAAAAUACAGGAUGAUGAAUUAUAUAAUGAUCGUUUAAUAAUACUGGAAGCAGGAACUGUUCACUAUGCCCUGGACACUGACGUUUUCAGUAAUUGAAAUCCAGUUUACCAAGUCAUUCGAUGAAUUCAACAGCAUCUAAAUAUGGUCAAAUAUCUUAACUGGGAUAUUAAAAACA